CCUACGGGAGGCAGCAGUGAGGAAUAUUGGUCAAUGGGCUUACGCCUGAACCAGCCAAGUCGCGUGAGGGAAGACUGCCCUAUGGGUUUUAAACCUCUUUUGUCAGGGAGCAACGCCGGCUACGUGUAGCCGGACUGAGAGUACCUGAAGAAACAGCAUCGGCUAACUCCGUGCCAGCAGCCGCGGUAAUCCGGAGUAUGCGAGCGUUAUCCGGAUUUUUUGGGUUUAAAGGGUGCGUAGGCGGAAUUCCAAGUCAGCGGUAAAACCGCGGGGCUAAACCUGGCUCUGCCGGUGAAACUGGCGUGCUGGAGUGGGGGAGAGGUAGGCGGAAUGCGUGGUGUAGCGGUGAAAUGCAUAGAUAUCACGCAGAACACCGAUUGCGAAGGCAGCAUACCGGCGCGCAACUGACGCUGAAGCACGAAAGCGUGGGUAUCGAACAGGAUUAGAUACCCGUGUAGUC
rnacentral:rRNA from 1 species